rnacentral:rRNA from 1 species
ACUCCUGCGGGAGGCAGCAGUGGGGAAUUUUGGACAAUGGGCGAAAGCCUGAUCCAGCCAUGCCGCGUGCAGGAUGAAGGCCUUCGGGUUGUAAACUGCUUUUGUACGGAACGAAACGGCCUUUUCUAAUAAAGAGGGCUAAUGACGGUACCGUAAGAAUAAGCACCGGCUAACUACGUGCCAGCAGCCGCGGUAAUACGUAGGGUGCAAGCGUUAAUCGGAAUUACUGGGCGUAAAGCGUGCGCAGGCGGUUAUGUAAGACAGUUGUGAAAUCCCCGGGCUCAACCUGGGAACUGCAUCUGUGACUGCAUAGCUAGAGUACGGUAGAGGGGGAUGGAAUUCCGCGUGUAGCAGUGAAAUGCGUAGAUAUGCGGAGGAACACCGAUGGCGAAGGCAAUCCCCUGGACCUGUACUGACGCUCAUGCACGAAAGCGUGGGGAGCAAACAGGAUUAGAAACCCCGGUAGUCCCAUGA